rnacentral:rRNA from 1 species
AACGAACGCUGGCGGCAUGCCUAACACAUGCAAGUCGAACGAGACCUUCGGGUCUAGUGGCGCACGGGUGCGUAACGCGUGGGAACCUGCCCUUAGGUUCGGAAUAACUCCCCGAAAGGGGUGCUAAUACCGGAUAAUGUCUUCGGACCAAAGAUUUAUCGCCUUUGGAUGGGCCCGCGUUGGAUUAGCUAGUUGGUAGGGUAAAAGCCUACCAAGGCGACGAUCCAUAGCUGGUCUGAGAGGAUGAUCAGCCACACUGGGGCUGAGACACGGCCCAGACUCCUACGGGAGGCAGCAGUGGGGAAUAUUGGACAAUGGGCGAAAGCCUGAUCCAGCAAUGCCGCGUGAGUGAUGAAGGCCUUAGGGUUAUAAAGCUCUUUUACCCGGGAUGAUAAUGACAGUACCGGGAGAAUAAGCUCCGGCUAACUCCGUG